GUUUGUUUUAUGUGUGACUCCUCCCACCAGAGGAUGGCUGUGGGGUUUUCCUUUUCUUUCUUAGGAGGUGGACACCUGGGCGUGCCUGCUGAGUAGUUGGGUGGAGUCUCUUGCUGUCCUGGGAUUGGAUAAUUGGUUGAUCACCUCCAGUAUUUAACCACCAGAUGACAGCCACCUGCUGUCACUCACAUUGCUCACUGCUGAAGCAACUAAAUGGCUGCUUAGCACUUUAAAAGGUGGGUUUACUCCUCAACAGCUUCACCAUGAAGUUUUACUUCUGUCGAGCUCAUCAUCGGGUAUCCAGCAACCUGACAGUCUACCUGAAGAACCUGACGGCUGCUGACUUCCUGCUCUGCCUCAGCCUGCCCAUCCGCAUCACCAACUACGCCAGCAGCUCCACCACCAUCCACCAACUCCACUGCAGCAUUGGAAUCCCUGUGCUAUACUUUAACAUGUACGCCAGCAUCCUGUUCAUGGGGUACAUUGCUGCUAACAGGUAUCUGAAGAUCAUCCAUCCAUCAGGAACUCACAUGUUGCAGACAGUACGAGCUGCAAAAAUCCUCUCCGGGAUCACCUGGGCUUGUCUCCUGGCCCCAACAAUCAGCUUCAUCACCACAUUUUUCAUCACCCAAAAACCUCAGAUCUCUGACCUCAGACACUGUGACUCCGUCUUCAGUGCAUCUGCCAGCCUGCUCGGAAAGGGCAUCCACACCUGUUUGGGGAUCAUCUUCCUGGUGGUCCUAAUAUCCCUGGUCUUCUUUACAACAUGAUCGUGUUGGGCGAUCGUGGCUCAAGAGUUGGGAGUUCGUCUUGUAAUCGGAAGGUUGUCGGUUUGAGCCCCGGCUCCGACAGCCUCGGUCGUUGUGUCCUUGGGCAAGACACUUCACCCGUUGCCUACUGGUGGUGCCAGUGUCCGGCAGCCUCGCCUCUGUCAGUGCGCCCCAGGGUGG
ensembl:lncRNA